ensembl:lncRNA
GUGGAUCUGUUUGUAUCGCUGGAUCACAAAAAAAAAACGAUCAAACUACCCAAUCCUCAUCUGUUGUCACUGUUAAUAAAGUCCCCAACAGAUGGCAGGGGACAAGGAUGGGUGACGGUGGAGGAACCUGGCAGGAAGACAGCUGCACCACUGCGACGCAUGCUCUGACUGAGCUACAACUUGGCAGCAUUCAUCAUUUGCCCUGGGAGAUGCCUACAGACCAAUAGGACAUGCCGGCUCUUCCUCCUGACCCUCCUCUUCCUCUGGAAAGGGGUUACAGUGGAGCUCCCAGCUUCGGGGUGAAGCUAGAGGCCCCAGAGAAUGGACAAGGGCUCAAGUCAGCGUUUAGGCUCGAUCACAAUGACAUGCAAUGAAAUUGAAGCAAAGGAGCUAACAGCUGCAACAUGUUGUUGUUCUGAUGAAGUCAGACCUAAUAAGUUAAGAAUUCAUUGCAAUUACAAUUAGGGCAUUUAGCAGACGCUUUUAUCCAAAGCGACCUACAUCGGUUCAUACACACAUUGACACACCGACGGCAGAGUCAACCAUGCACGGUGACAGCCAGCUCGUCAGGAGCAGUUAGGGUUAAGUGUCAUGCUCAGGGACACAUCGACACCCGGCUAGGAGGAGCUGGGGAUUGAACUAGCAACCUUACGGUUUCAAGACAACUGCUCUAUACCUCCUGAGCUGAUCCCGACCCGACCCGCGUUAUCAGCCUAAAAUAGGCCUGUACCAAAAUUGGGUUAUAAUAACAAAUUGGUAUUUUAUUCUCUGAUUACGAUGGAGGAUGUGACAUACUUUUAAAGAUGCAUUAGUGGUAAUGAUAGUCU